CUAGAGUGCUCUUCUUGUUAUUAGUUGUAGGUUUUUGUGAAUCCCUAUUAUUUCCAGUCUGAGCGACUUAGUGCCAGUUGAACUCCCUCUCCUCUGUGCACACAAUAGGUGUACCAGAACUUUUUAUCCCUACGUGCAAUGUAUGUUGGCAGCCAUAUUUUAAACAAUCUGUUCCUCUGUUCAUCAUUCAAAUUAUGUUUAGCUAAAUUAGACUCAAAUACGUCUGCAUUACCAAAGGCAUCCAUUGAUGGUUUAUAUGGGGGAAUAUCUUUGGUAACUUUCAUCAGCUGCUCUUGAAUUUUUAAUUUAAGUUUUGCAGCCUUAUCUAACAAUUUUCUGAGUUGCAAAUCAGACUGGGAUGAUAUUUCUGUGACAUCAACUGGCUCUGGUAUCAAAUUAU